GACGAACGCUGGCGGCGUGCUUAACACAUGCAAGUCGAACGAAGAUCGAUGGAAUCUUGCCUCUAUCAAUCUUAGUGACGAACGGGUGCGUAACGCGCAAUCAACCUUCCCUUCAGAGGAGGUCAACAGUUGGCAACUACUGCUAAUUCCGCAUACGUUCCCAUCCCGGCAUCGGGCCUGCAUGUAAGGAGGUCGCUAUUUAUAAGCUAUCACUCCAGGACGGGGUUGCGUCUGAUUUGCUAGUUGGAGGGGUGACGGCCUACAAAUGCGAUGCGAAGUAGCCGGUCUGAGAGGAUGAACGGCGACGUUGGGAUGGGGACACGGCCCAGACUACUAGGGGAGGCAGCAGUGGGGGAUCUUCCGGAAUGGACGAAAGUGGGACGAAGCAACGCCGCGGGAGAGAUGACGGCCGUCGGGUUGUAAAGGUCAGGUAGGCGGGAGGAUUGGUACUUGUGCGAAUAGGGCGAGAAUUUGACGGUACCGGAGUAGAAAGCCACGGCUAACUACGUG
rnacentral:rRNA from 1 species